UACGGAGGAUGCAAGCGUUAUCCGGAAUUACUGGGCGUAAGCGUGCGCAGGCGGUCUUGCAAGACAGAUGUGAAAUCCCCGGGCUCAACCUGGGAACUGCAUUUGUGACUGCAAGGCUGGGGUACGGUAGAGGGGGAUGGAAUUCCGCGUGUAGCAGUGAAAUGCGUAGAUAUGCGGAGGAACACCGAUGGCGAAGGCAAUCCCCUGGACCUGUACUGACGCUCAUGCACGAAAGCGUGGGGAGCAAACAGG
rnacentral:rRNA from 1 species